UGCAGUCGAGCGGUAGCACAGAGAGCUUGCUCUCGGGUGACGAGCGGCGGACGGGUGAGUAAUGUCUGGGAAACUGCCUGAUGGAGGGGGAUAACUACUGGAAACGGUAGCUAAUACCGCAUAACGUCGCAAGACCAAAGUGGGGGACCUUCGGGCCUCAUGCCAUCAGAUGUGCCCAGAUGGGAUUAGCUGGUAGGUGGGGUAACGGCUCACCUAGGCGACGAUCCCUAGCUGGUCUGAGAGGAUGACCAGCCACACUGGAACUGAGACACGGUCCAGACUCCUACGGGAGGCAGCAGUGGGGAAUAUUGCACAAUGGGCGCAAGCCUGAUGCAGCCAUGCCGCGUGUGUGAAGAAGGCCUUCGGGUUGUAAAGCACUUUCAGCGGGGAGGAAGGCGGUGAGGUUAAUAACCUCGUCGAUUGACGUUACCCGCAGAAGAAGCACCGGCUAACUCCGUGCCAGCAGCCGCGGUAAUACGGAGGGUGCAAGCGUUAAUCGGAAUUACUGGGCGUAAAGCGCACGCAGGCGGUCUGUCAAGUCGGAUGUGAAAUCCCCGGGCUCAACCUGGGAACUGCAUUCGAAACUGGCAGGCUAGAGUCUUGUAGAGGGGGGUAGAAUUCCAGGUGUAGCGGUGAAAUGCGUAUAGAUCUGGGAGGAAUACCGGUGG
rnacentral:rRNA from 1 species